rnacentral:rRNA from 1 species
CAGCCGCCACGGUAAUACAGAGGGUGCAAGCGUUAAUCGGAUUUACUGGGCGUAAAUGGCGCGUAGGUGGUUAUUUAAGUGAGAUGUGAAAGCCCCGGGCUUAACCUGGGAACUGCAUCUUAUACUGGGUAACUGGAGUGCAGUAGAGGGUAGUGGAAUUUCCGGUGUAGCGGUGAAAUGCGUAGAUAUCGGAAGGAACACCAGUGGCGAAGGCGGCUACCUGGACUGAGACUGACACUGAGGCGCGAGAGCGUGGGGAGCAAACAGGAUUAGAUACCCCAGUAGUCCCUGUCUCUUAUAC